rnacentral:misc_RNA from 1 species
GAAAUUCUCUACUGGCAGGUAAUGCUAUCUUAAGCUGUAAUAAUUUAUGCAAAAUUAGCAUCUUUACAUUUUCGAAGACAAAGAAAUUACAUUUGUUUAUUUUUCUUGUGCUGUUAUGUUCAUUGUGCACUAUUUCUGGGACCCUUUCCAGUCCUUAAGGGUGUGAUAGGUUCGUCUUAUAAAGUGUGAAUGAGGACAAAAUAAGUUUAAACUUCACAAAAAUUUGACUCUUGGGUACAUGGCU